CACGUAGGCGGACUGGUCAGUUGGGAGUGAAAUCCCAGGGCUCAACCCUGGAACUGCCUCCAAUACUGCCAGUCUUGAGUCCGAGAGAGGUGAGUGGAAUUCCUAGUGUAGAGGUGAAAUUCGUAGAUAUUAGGAAGAACACCAGUGGCGAAGGCGGCUCACUGGCUCGGUACUGACGCUGAGGUGCGAAAGCGUGGGGAGCAAACA
rnacentral:rRNA from 1 species